UUGAAUGUUGUGUAGUUUUAAUUUCGUUGAUUUCGUUUAUUAUAUCGUGAGGUUCGCUAUGGUUAAGUUAUUAAACCAAUCAUUCUGAUUUUGUCCAUUUUAAAGGUCGUUGAGUUAAUUUAUGUUUAAUAUCGUAA